AGUGAACGCUGGCGGUAGGCCUAACACAUGCAAGUCGAACGGCAGCACAGUAAGAGCUUGCUCUUACGGGUGGCGAGUGGCGGACGGGUGAGGAAUACAUCGGAAUCUACUUUUUCGUGGGGGAUAACGUAGGGAAACUUACGCUAAUACCGCAUAUGACCUACGGGUGAAAGCAGGGGAUCUUCGGACCUUGCGCGAUUGUAUGAGCCGAUGUCGGAUUAGCUAGUUGGCGGGGUAAAGGCCCACCUAGGCGACGAUCCGUAGCUGGUCUGAGAGGAUGAUCAGCCACACUGGAACUGAGACACGGUCCAGACUCCUACGGGAGGCAGCAGUGGGGAAUAUUGGACAAUGGGCGAAAGCCUGAUCCAGCCAUACCGCGUGGGUGAAGAAGGCCUUCGGGUUGAAAAGCCCUGUUGUUGGGAAAGAAAAGCAGCAGGUUAAUCCCCCGCUGUUCUGACGGUACCCAAAGAAUAAGCACCGGCUAACUUCGUG
rnacentral:rRNA from 1 species